CCCACUUAUAUGUCGCGUCUCUUCCUUGAUGACCUGAGGUCUCAUGAGCCCAUCGAGCUAGAAAUAAUUCACCCUUAUUCUGCAGUCCAAGUCAAUUUGAGCCACUUCAAUUUGGCAGCUUAUCUACCUGAUGGUUGUUUUGUUGUUCUUCAGUAGCCCGACUUUUGGGCACAUGUGCAUCCACAUGACGCACCUUUACAACCAUAUUCUUUGUUCGGGCAGCAAUGUCCUUCCAUAAUUCAGCGGCCCAAACAGAUUUACCCUUCCGUUGCCAGUUGUUUUGUUCCCACCUCUGUAACCACCCCCAUAAGGCAUUUGCCACCAUCCAUGAGUCAGUAUAAAGAUACAGCAUUGGCCACCUCUCCCGUUCAGCAACAUCUAAGGCCAGCGGACAGCUUUUACCUCUGCAAACUGACUUGAUUCUCCCUUACCUUCGGUGGCCUCUGCAACCUGUCGUGUGGGGCUCCACACAGCAGCUUUCCAUUUGCGAUGCUUCCCUACAAUGCGACAUGAUCCGUCUGUGAAUAGGGCAUAUUUCUUUUCAUUUUCUGGUAAUUCGUUGUAUGGUGGGCCUCUUUAGACGUGAUACCUCUUCUGCUGGUGAGUUUCCAAACCUUUUAUCUUCAGGCCAGUCCAUGAUACCUCUAGGAUUCCUGGACGAUUGAGGUUUCCCAUUUGAGCCUGCUGUGUAAUCAGAGCAAUCCCACUUGCCAGGUGACAUCGGUAGCAUGAUGAGUGGAGGGAACCUGUCCUUUGAACAUCCAGUUCAGCACUGGCAGUCGAGGUGCCAAAAUUCUGACCAUACCACAUCUCAUAAAAGUACCAGGCAGGUGUUCAUCAGUAUCCACCUUAUUAGGCUAUAUACCUGCACAAUUCCACAACACCAAAUUAUGGUGUUAAUAGUUGACCAAUACUUUAAGAAGAUCAUAAUUGCUUUCAAUCCUUAAACAGAGCAACUGGGAUGAAGAGUGGAUUCAUAGCUGCAGGCUCUGUAAAAGUCAGAGCUAGCUAGCUUUGCUCUAAGGGAGAAAGAAUAUCCUUUGUUUUCUACACAAAAGUUAGAUAGCAGUGCUG
rnacentral:lncRNA from 1 species